rnacentral:rRNA from 1 species
GAUGAACGCUGGCGGCAUGCCUAAUACAUGCAAGUCGAACGAGAGGAAGGAAAGCUUGCUUUUCUGAAUCUAGUGGCGGACGGGUGAGUAACACGUGGGUAACCUGCCCAUAAGAGGGGGAUAACAUUCGGAAACGGAUGCUAAUACCGCAUAUUUCAAGUGACCGCAUGGUCGCUUGAUGAAAGGUGGCUUCGGCUACCCCGUAUGGAUGGACCCGCGGUGCAUUAGUUAGUUGGUGGGGUAAUGGCUCACCAAGACCAUGAUGCAUAGCCGACCUGAGAGGGUGAUCGGCCACACUGGGACUGAGACACGGCCCAGACUCCUACGGGAGGCAGCAGUAGGGAAUCUUCCGCAAUGGACGAAAGUCUGACGGAGCAAUGCCGCGUGAGUGAAGAAGGUUUUCGGAUCGUAAAACUCUGUUGUUAGAGAAGAACAAGGAUGAGAGUAACUGCUCAUCCCCUGACGGUAUCUAACCAGAAAGCCACGGCUAACUACGUGCCAGCAGCCGCAGUAA